ACACGUGCUCCGGGGUCGGUGUAAGUCCGAACCGGCGGUUAUAGUCCGCGACCCGAGGUGCCUCACGGCGCCGAGGUUGAACUGGUGGAAUUCCAGUACCGACAGUUAAAGUCUGGAUGGGAGAAGCACGUAC
rnacentral:ncRNA from 1 species